CGGAGAGUGAAUGUGUGGCUCGCACUGUGCCUUGACAGAGACACCAUGCUCUCUUUCUCACGCCCUUGAGAGAAAUUCGAGAGAAGCGAUGCCACUUUUUGCCAGUGUUCAAAGGGACACAGAGUUACCUCACUUGAAACUGAGGUUUCACAUGAAAACAAGGUGGCAUUUGUUAGAGAUGGGCCCCGAUAAGGACUUUAUCUUUCGUUGGAGAUGACGUGUUUACUGUCGCCUUGGUAAAACAUUAACCGCCCAACGACAAGUUGACUUUACCUCUGCUUGCUUUGCUGUCUUUCAGUUUAGUAUCCUCUGUGUGUCAAUCAAAACUCGCCACUGUUCAAAAUAAGUAGUUCACUUUAUUAGUUUAUAAUGUCGUGGACAGUCCCCUUUAAUUAACUGUACAGUAAAAGGAGCAGCUUUAGCCUCUACGGCUAAUUUCCAUCUGUAGUCCUCAGCCAAUUGUCCAUAGGCAUCCUAAAAUACAAUGUAAAAAAUGUAAAUAAGUUACAUUACAUUUAUAAUUACAGCAGGCCUAUGCGAAAGAGAGUAAAGAAAGUAUUAAGGGUCUGUGGGGAAAAAAGCGCAGGACAAAGGACAGUGACUGACCAGAUACUUUUAAUCACAGGGAACUAUGUCUGUCUGUCUUUCUUUAUCACGACUGUGACGAAAUCUAAACAGUGUGUACUGCCAGUAUUGUACUCCAGAGUGAUCCAGUGCACUUGUUUAUAUUAGUCAUUUGUUUUUCACAUUGAAAAAUGUAUAAUUGCAUUGAUAAAAAGUUAGAAAAGAGCUAUAUGGUAGUCUAAAUUACAAGGAUUUCUUGUACACAUUAUAGUAGAUACAGGCAAGUAAUAGGAGCAUAGGAUAUUUUGAGCCAGAGAGAAAAUUAUUUUCUCAAAAUAUGAUUUCCUUUUGUGUAGGGCGGGGCACCGAACUUUGAUAUUUUUUGGCACCGACCAAAUUGCCGCCAUAGUAUGGACUAUCGAAAAUGCCUUGUCAUUCAAUACCAAAUUUCAAUACCAUAAGAGUAUUCUCAUCAGCGUCAGUGAGCCAAUAAGCAUGCAGCAUGCUUCUACCGAGAUCAAAUAAUGUUUGUGAUUGGCUGUUCGUUACACGUUGUAGAGACACGCAGGAAAACCACCAUUUGUACCGUAGUGUUGUAAUUUCUUUUUGUUAAAAUGGAUUUUUAUAAAGUUGGUAUCCUGAAAAAGUAUUGUUCAGGAACUGGUAUCGAAAUCGAUACCAACGAUACUCAAACUUAAAAUACAAUAAUACAAACUAAUACAAUAGAAUAUAGGUUAAACAGCUGGUAACAAGUUGAUGUUAUUGAAUGUCUAAAAUAUCUCUGUUGGUAGUGCACUUGAAGUCAAGUAGAAGUCAAGUUCUCUCAACUGGUGGAAGUGGUCAGUAACUCAUAGUGAUGAUUAUACAUUAUUAUUUUUACAUACGGCUUUUAAAUGCGGAGAUGCAAAGAAGAUUAAAACUUGGGUUAAUAGAGAGAAAACCAUGUGUGAACUGUAAAUUGGGCGUUGACCACAGUUAGGUGUUGGUCCCAGAGUAUUUUGUUUCACACAAAAAAAACUAAA